CGUGUAAAGAAGGAUGUGUUUGCUUCUCCUUCCACCAUGAUUGUAAGUUUCCUGAGGCCUCCCCAGCCAUGCUCAACUGCUGUUCUGAUCAUGAUCAAGCCCAAGACAGAGCGAUGGGCGUGGCUUCCCCAAAGGUGUUUAUGAAUCCAAAAUCUGAGAGAGAGAAGACAAGAUGAAGUCACAGUCUAGUCAUUGCCUCAACACCAGUCAUUCCUACUCCCACCCAGACAACAUCAUCUCCACUCCCAAGCCCGAAAUGCUCCCUGCCAUGCCUUCGAGGCUGAGGUCUGGGAAGAAAACUCUAAGAAGAGAGAAAAGGGCACCAGUAUGGAGACCCUAGAAUAUAAAAAGCAGACUUAGCCUGUCUAACCUGUUCCUUGACUUGGCCAUGAUCCCAGGAAUGGAGGAAGGAUCUUCCUUUUCUUCCUCCUCCUGGAGAGGCAUCAGAGCAUGGGCCCUGGCUCUGUUACUCCCUGGCUGGGGAAGUUACUUACCUACUCCGUGUCUCAGUUUUACUUAUCUCUAAAAGGGGUAGAGUAACAGCACUCACUGGAGUGGAGUGUGGUUAUGCCUCCCAGCCUCUCCUUCAGAACUAGGUUACUUAUUCCCUCAGCUGCAAGGAGUGUUAGCUGCGGACUGCUCACAACGGAGUCUCUUCUAGGGAUUGCCCUCAACCGAAGGAAGCUGCAUUGCCCAAGAUGAGAUCCCCUCGCUGGGGCAUCCUGCAUCCAAUGACAAGUCAGUGGGGCGUACGAAGGCCUGGCUUCCUCAUCUCGAUUGGACAUCUCCAAAGGGCCAUCCCAGUUUCUGAUCUCCCCGUAGAAUCUCCUGAAGCCUCUGUUGUGACUGCAUCAGAGCCCAACCUCUCUCUCUACCCAAUCCAGUCUCCUUUCCUUCUCACAGGUGUUGUUCCCAAAACUCAGUAAACUGCCUACACGCAA
rnacentral:lncRNA from 1 species